rnacentral:rRNA from 1 species
UACGUAGGGUGCAAGCGUUGUCCGGAAUUAUUGGGCGUAAAGAGCUCGUAGGCGGUUUGUUGCGUCGGCUGUGAAAUCCCGAGGCUCAACCUCGGGUCUGCAGUCGAUACGAGCAAACUAGAGUGUUGCAGGGGAGAACGGAAUUCCUGGUGUAGCGGUGAAAUGCGCAGAUAUCAGGAGGAACACCGGUGGCGAAGGCGGUUCUCUGGGCAUUACCUGACGCUGAGGAGCGAAAGUGUGGGGAGCGAACAGG